rnacentral:rRNA from 1 species
CCUACGGGAGGCAGCAGUGAGGAAUAUUGGUCAAUGGACGCAAGUCUGACCCAGCCAUGCCGCGUGCAGGAAGAAGGCUCUAUGAGUUGUAACCUGCUUUUGUACGAGGGUAAACGCAGAUACGCGUAUCUGUCUGAAAGUAACGUACGAAUAAGGAUCGGCUAAGCCCGGUCCAGUCGCCGCGGUAAUACGGAGGAUUCAAGCGUUACGCGGAUUUAUUGGGUUUAAAGGGUGCGUAGGCGGUCUGAUAAGUUAGGGGUGAAAUCCCGAGGCUCAACGUCGGAAUUGCCUUUGAUACUGUUCGGCUAGAGAGUAGUAGCGGUAGGCGGAAGUCAUGGUGUAGCGGUGAAAUGCUUAGAGAUCAUACAGAACACCGAUUGCGAAGGCAGCUUACCAAGAUACUUCUGACGUUGAGGCACGAAAGCGUGGGGAGCAAACAGGAUUAGAUACCCGAGUAGUC